rnacentral:tRNA from 1 species
GCCCGGGUGGCGAAAUUGGUAGACGCACAGGACUUAAAAUCCUGAGGACCGAAAGGUCCGUGCCGGUUCGACUCCGGCCCUGGGCA